AUGUGCUGUUGGGGGUGGUUUUCUGGUUGUGAAGUUUUGCUUCUGUUUAGGUGUAGGAGCAUAGAAUAUGCUCAAAAGCUACUUGUUCUUGCUGUUAUUAAAUUCCUUUUCCAAAAGUGGAACUACAGAAGAGGCUCUACGUAAUAACCUGUGAUCAGGAUCCUAGUUAUGUGCUGGAUAGGCAACUGAAGAAGCCUGUCUUUCCACAAUUCAGACAGAGCAUAUAAAUAAG